GCAAGUCUGGUGCCAGCAGCCGCGGUGAUUCCAGCUCCAAUAGCGUAUAUUAAAGUUGUUGCAGUUAAAAAGCUCGUAGUUGAACCUUGGGCCUGGCUGACCGGUCCGCCUCACCGCGUGCACUGGUGCGGCCGGGCCUUUCCUUCUGGGGAGCCGCAUGCCCUUCACUGGGUGUGUCGGGGAACCAGGACUUUUACCUUGAAAAAAUUAGAGUGUUCAAAGCAGGCCUAUGCUCGAAUACAUUGGCAUGGAAUAAUAGAAUAGGACGUGUGGUUCUAUUUUGUUGGUUUCUAGGACCGCCGUAAUGAUUAAUAGGGAUAGUCGGGGGCAUCAGUAUUCAAUUGUCAGAGGUGAAAUUCUUGGAUUUAUUGAAGACUAACUACUGCGAAAGCAUUUGCCAAGGAUGUUUUCAUUAAUCAGUGAACGAAAGUUAGGGGAUCGAAGACGAUCAGAUACCGUCGUAGUCUUAACCAUAAACUAUGCCGACUAGGGAUCGGGCGAUGUUAUCUUUUUGACUCGCUCGGCACCUCACGAGAAAUCAAAGUUUUUGGGUCCUGGGGGGAGUAUGGUCGCAAGGCUGAAACUUAAAGGAAUUGACGGAAG
rnacentral:rRNA from 1 species